GACGAACGCUGGCGGCGCGCCUAACACAUGCAAGUCGAACGGAGCUGAGAGAAGCUUGCUUUUCUUAGCUUAGUGGCGAACGGGUGAGUAACGCGUGAGUAACCUGCCCUGGAGUGGGGGACAACAGUUGGAAACGACUGCUAAUACCGCAUAAGCCCACGAUCCGGCAUCGGAUUGAGGGAAAAGGAUUUAUUCGCUUCAGGAUGGACUCGCGUCCAAUUAGCUAGUUGGUGAGGUAACGGCCCACCAAGGCGACGAUUGGUAGCCGGACUGAGAGGUUGAACGGCCACAUUGGGACUGAGACACGGCCCAGACUACUACGGGAGGCAGCAGUGGGGGAUAUUGCACAAUGGGGGAAACCAUGAUGCAGCGACGCCGCGUGGAGGAAGAAGGUUUUAGGAUUGUAAACUCCUGUCGUUAGGGACGAUAAUGACGGUACCUAACAAGAAAGCACCGGCUAACUACGUG
rnacentral:rRNA from 1 species